GUGAGGAAUUUUGCGCAAUGGCCGCAAGGCUGACGCAGCAACGCCGCGUGGGUGAUGAAGGCCUUCGGGUCGUAAAGCCCUGUCAGGUGGGAAGAAAGGCCUGGAGAGGAAAGGUUUCAGGUUUGACGGUACCACCAGAGGAAGCACCGGCUAACUCCGUGCCAGCAGCCGCGGUAAUACGGAGGGUGCGAGCGUUAUUCGGAAUUACUGGGCGUAAAGCGCGUGUAGGCGGGGGGACAAGUCUGAUGUGAAAGCCCUGGGCUUAACCUGGGAAGCGCAUUGGAAACUGUUUUGCUUGAGUACUGGAGAGGAAGGGGGAAUUCCCGGUGUAGAGGUGAAAUUCGUAGAGAUCGGGAGGAAUACCAGUGGCGUAGGCGCCCUUCUGGACGGUAACUGACGCUGAGACGCGAAAGCGUGGGGAGCAAACAGGAUUAGAAACCCCAGUAGUCC
rnacentral:rRNA from 1 species